GUUUUGAUGCAUUUCUGGUGAUGCGAGCCAUGUUUUAAGAGUACAAGCACAACUUUUAAAAAACACGCUUUUUAUUCUGCUGCUGCCUCUGACUGGGAGAAACACAUUCAAUCCUGUGUAAACAAACACAGAAGAUGGAAGAUGUGAAAACCAGCGUCUCUGCUUUGGCCUGUUGAAGCCAGUUGAUCUCCUCCGGUCACUCUCAAUGUCAGAUUGUAUAAUCAGCACCUCAGACAGCAGCUUCACUCAACAUCUCUACAGGACUCCUGACACCACAUCUACACACAGGUGUUUCACCAGACUGGACCAGAACAUUUAAUCCUUCGGAUGAAGACUCUUUUCCUGUGCAAGAACACAUGCAUGUUUUUGACUGCACAUAAAUAAAUCGCAUUACAUUAGAAAACCUUCAAAUUCGUACCCUUUUUUAAACUCCCUAUCAGAACCACAGACAGCAUGACAACAGCGAGAAUGACUACUAAAUCCCGACGCUUCCCUUCUCUCACAAAGAGCAGAAAAGAGAGACAAAAACAGAGACUGUAAAGAAUUGUUCCCAGAUCAGUACUUGAAACUUGGACUACCAGCAGCAAUUCAUCGCUCUUCAUCGGCCUAAACAAAGCUCUGUCACUCCCUACAUGCUCAGCACUCACCUUCACUACAUUUUAUUUCAAGAAACGACUCUCCAGCGAAAUUCUCUGCAUGCCUAUACAGUCGAUGACUUUCAAAAGUGUCUUGAACUACAAACUAAACCUCAGACAUCAAUCACAGAUUUUUGUUUUUAC